rnacentral:rRNA from 1 species
UAACUGCGAGUGAAGCGGGAAGAGCUCAAAUUUGUAAUCUGGCGGUCUCUGGCCGUCCGAGUUGUAAUCUGUAGAGGCGUCGUCCGCGUCGGCCCGUGUACAAGUCUCCUGGGAUGGAGCGUCAUAGAGGGUGAGAAUCCCGUCCAUGACAUGGACCACCGAUGCUUUGUGAGGUGCCCUCGAAGAGUCGCGUUGUUUGGGAAUGCAGCGCAAAAUGGGUGGUAAAUUCCAUCUAAGGCUAAAUAUUGGCGAGAGACCGAUAGCGAACAAGUACCGUGAGGGAAAGAUGAAAAGCACUUUGGAAAGAGAGUUAAACAGUACGUGAAAUUGUUGAAAGGGAAACGCUUGAAGUCAGUCGCGUCCCGUGGCACUCAGCCUUGCUUCGGCUUGGUGUACUUGCCUUGGGACGGGUCAACAUCAAUUUUGGCCGGUGGACAAGGGUGAGGGGAAUGUAGCGUUGUUUCGGCGACGUGUUAUAGCCCCUUGUCGAAUACACCGGCUGGGAUUGAGGACCGCAGCACGCCCUUGUGGCCGGGGGUUCGCCCCAUGUAACGUGCUUAGGAUGUUGGCAUAAUGGCUUUAAGCGACCCGUCUUGAAACACGGACCAAGGAGUCUAACAUGCUUGCGAGUGUUCGGGUGGAAAACCCUUGCGCGUAAUGAAAGUGAAAGUUGGGAGCCUCCGUGAGGGGGUGCACCGACGCCUGGCCCUGACGUUCUCUGACAGUGCUGCGGUAGAGCAAGUAUGUUGGGACCCGAAGAUGGUGAACUAUGCCUGAAUAGGGCGAAGCCAGAGGAAACUCUGGUGGAGGCUCGUAGCGAUUCUGACGUGCAAAUCGAUCGUCAAAUUUGGG